rnacentral:siRNA from 1 species
UGUUAUUGAUGUAUGGUUGAC